rnacentral:rRNA from 1 species
GAUGAACGCUAGCGAUAGGCUUAACACAUGCAAGUCGAGGGGCAGCAUGGUCUUAGCUUGCUAAGACUGAUGGCGACCGGCGCACGGGUGCGUAACGCGUAUGCAACUUGCCUCACAGAGGGGGAUAACCCGUCGAAAGACGGACUAAUACCGCGUACACUCCAUCUUGGGCAUCCAAGGUAGAGGAAAUGAAAUUCGCUGUGAGAUAGGCAUGCGUCCCAUUAGCUAGUUGGUGAGGUAACGGCUCACCAAGGCGACGAUGGGUAGGGGAACUGAGAGGUUGAACCCCCACACUGGUACUGAGACACGGACCAGACUCCUACGGGAGGCAGCAGUGAGGAAUAGUGGUCAAUGGGCGAGAGCCUGAACCAGCCAAGUCGCGUGAAGGAUGACUGUCUUAUGGAUUGUAAACUUCUUUUAGACGGGAAUAACAAGAGUCACGUGUGACUCCCUGCAUGUACCGUAUGAAUAAGCAUCGGCUAACUCCGUG